rnacentral:rRNA from 1 species
UAAGGAAUAUUGGUCAAUGGACGCAAGUCUGAACCAGCCAUGCCGCGUGAAGGAUGAAGGUCCUCUGGAUUGUAAACUUCUUUCAUCUGGGACGAAAACGGGAUUUUUAUCUCAAUUGACGGUACCAGAGGAAUAAGCACCGGCUAACUCCGUGCCAGCAGCCGCGGUAAUACGGAGGGUGCGAGCGUUAUCCGGAUUUACUGGGUUUAAAGGGUGCGUAGGUGGGCUUAUAAGUCAGUGGUGAAAUCUCCGAGCUUAACUUGGAAACUGCCGUUGAUACUAUAGGUCUUGAAUUGUCUGGAGGUCAGCGGAAUAUGGCAUGUAGCGGUGAAAUGCUUAGAUAUGACAUAGAACACCAAUUGCGAAGGCAGCUUACUACAUAUAAAUUGACGCUGAGGCACGAAAGCGUGGGGAUCAAACA